rnacentral:rRNA from 1 species
GACGAACCGUGCGAACGUUGUUCGGAAUCACUGGGCUUAAAGGGCGUGUAGGCGGGCCGUCAAGUCAGGGGUGAAAGCCCCCAGCUCAACUGGGGAAGUGCCUUUGAUACUGACGAUCUCGAGGGAGGUAGGGGCGUGCGGAACUUCCGGUGGAGCGGUGAAAUGCGUAGAUAUCGGAAGGAACGCCGGUGGCGAAAGCGGCGCGCUGGACCUCUUCUGACGCUGAGGCGCGAAAGCCAGGGGAGCAAACGGG